rnacentral:rRNA from 1 species
UACGUAGGCAGCGAGCGUUGUUCGGAGUUACUGGGCGUAAAGCGUGCGUAGGCGGUUGUCUAAGUUUGGUGUGAAAUCUCCUGCUUAACUGGGAGGGUGCGCCGAAAACUGGGGUGACUGGAGUGUCGGAGAGGCAAGCGGAAUUCCUGGUGUAGCGGUGAAAUGCGUAGAGAUCAGGAGGAACACCUGUGGUGUAGACAGCUUACUGGACGAUAACUGACGCUGAGGCACGAAAAGCGUGGGUAGCAAACAGG